rnacentral:misc_RNA from 1 species
UUUCCGUAGGUGAACCUGCGGAAGGAUCAUUAUUGUAUAACCGAGGUGCGAGGGCUGUCGCUGACCCGAAAGGUCGUGCACGCCCGAGUGCCCUCACACACAUCCAUCUCACCCCUAUGUGCACCACCGCGUGGGUCCCCCUUUGGCUUGUUCGGAGGGGGGCUUACGUUUUCACACAAACUUUGUAUGCAGUGUAGAAUGUAUUUUUUGUUUUUGCGAUCACGCAAUCAAUACGACUUUCAACAACGGAUCUCUUGGCUCUU